rnacentral:pre_miRNA from 1 species
GCAUGCUGGGCCUGAUCCAAAGCCCUGCGAAGUUAAUGGGAGGACUUCCAUUGAUUUCAGCGGGCUUUGGAUCAGGCCCUUUGUGC